GUUUCCUGAAUCCACAUCAGCUACAAUUAAAUCCCCAUUACUCUGCUUUGCAGAGGAAGGUCUUCCCUCCUGUGGAGAGUCUAAAGGGCUUUUUGAGGCAGCACUGUGCUCAGGUGCUACCAACAGGUGAGCGACCUCGUGAGACACAAAGGCCAAGAUGACUCAGAAGUGGAGAAGGGUGCAGGAACCUGUAGGCACCACUGCUCUCACAUGAGCACCUUGCAGCCAAAACCAUCUGCGGGUCUGCUCUGAAGUUUUCCUCAGCUAGAUGGCCCUUGAGCAUAUCUGAGAGAAGGAAUGAGAGAAUUCCGGAUGCCUCUUUGAAUUUUAUGAAUCAGCCUGGCAGUUAAUGGGAAAAGCACUCUCCAGAUUGAAUUAGAAUUCAGCAAGAGGAUAUCUCAAAAGGUUUUUGUUUUUCUCAAUUAAGACAAAAGCAAACCACUUUAGGUUAACCCAUACAAUUUGCUUGACCUGAAACAAAAUUGUUCAUUUUAUAUUUGGAUUUUUAAAAAUUUUGAUCCACUUGCCCCUCUUUAAGAUUGGGAGAAUAAAAGCAAAGACUCUCUAGGAAAGGAAAUUUUCCUGCAGAAAAGUGUCUCACGUUUAAUUUUAUAGAUUAAAGUGUUUUAAACUGGAAAAAAAAAAAAAGAUCCAACCUUAAAAGCACAUUUGGAGUAUUUCUAUCUCUGAAUCCCCUGGAUUACUUAAGAGCUCAAGAGGUAAUGAGAACAUUUUUCUGGCUGUGUUUUAGGGUCUGACCUGCAGCAAACUUUUACUGAGGUGCCAAUGCUCUUGUCCCAACAACGUUCCAUUUGUGUGAACUUAUUCCAGGUUUACACCACCACACUUUGAAGAGUGUAAGGUGUGGGAAAUCAAUGUCUGCUUUGUGCUCCUGUGACAAUGGUUUGCAGUUGCUAAAACUACAAUCCUUUUCCAAAAUACAAAUAAAAAUUGGACACACAGGGUUAAGAUUAGAUGCCAUUCCGUUCCCCUUCAUCUCUUGUAAACAGCAGGCGUUUGGAAGAAAAAGUAGGGAUCAGGAAUCUGGGAAUCAGGAAAAGAGAUAACAUGUCCUUGGUAGGGGAAGAAAUACAAAACCUGGAUUUCCAGUGUGAUAGCAAGCAGCCUUCUGAAUCAACAAUGUCAAAAAAUCACCACAUUCCACAGAGGAAACGGGCAUUUGACAGAGAAUCUUUCCAGAACUUCAAGUUUUCAUGUGAAAUUGUGCCCCACAAGUCCAAAAGGUCUCUGUUUAGACACCUCUGAAGCUCUCCUAGGUCACAGGAGCUUCCCAAUCAUCAGAUCCUCCUUUCCAGGUGCUGGUGCGGCCAGAACUGUCACAUUCACAUUCUCUGACAGAUCCCUUCACCCAGGAUUUUUCUCCUGGGAAGCUGAGAAGCCUCAGAAAAAAGGAAAAAAAUUACUAUCUCAUUUUCUUCUCCUCUGUUUUGCUCCUUUGGAAUGUGUUUGGAGGUUGUUUACCCACAGGUGAUUGUUUCUUUGGAUUCUGCUGUGAGUUGUUUUCACUCUUUGGCCAACCAGGGCCAAGCUGUGUCGGGACUCUGGAGAGAGUCAGGAGUUUUUAUUAUUAUCUUUCAGCAUUCAGUAACUAUCUUUUCUGUAUUCUUUAGUAUAGUAUAGCAUUCUUUAAUACAAUAUAG